UCAACAAACCCAGCAACACCUGUAUCUACUCCGUCCUCAUCCUCAGGUUGUGAGCUGUCCAGGGGAAGUAUACUGCUGAUAUUUCAGACUACUCUUGGAUGUACAGUGAUGCGAAGAUUUUGCGUUUAUUUUUAAAAGAUAAAAGAUGAAAUGAGAUCCAAAACAUAUCAAAUUUAACCCAUUUCAUUUUAUUUUUCAUAGCCUUUAAAUAACAAAUGCAACUAUGAUACACCUUUAGUACAGAGUAUGUUAUAUUUUAAUCCCUUAAGGAAUUCAUGUAUAUAAAUUUGGUUUUGACUUAUAAAUCGAUUAUUAAAAUUUAUUUUACAUAUAAAUCAAGUUUGUCUAAUUCAUAUGAAAACAGAUAUUUAGUUUUUAAAGACAUCGAUAAGUUGAUUUUUUGUGAUGAGUGGAAUAUCUGAAUAUGUUCUCUGAAUAUGUUCACCAAAUAAUGCAUUGUCUGUCUGGCGUGAACAAAUAAAAUCCUCAAUUUACUUUGAUGUUUUUUAAAUAGAUAUGGUCGUCUUUUUCCUUCUCUAAUUGUAUCGAUUGAUCAAAGCUUUGCA